GACGAACGCUGGCGGCGUGCUUAACACAUGCAAGUCGAACGGAAAGGCCCUGCUUUUGUGGGGUGCUCGAGUGGCGAACGGGUGAGUAACACGUGAGUAACCUGCCCUUGACUUUGGGAUAACUUCAGGAAACUGGGGCUAAUACCGGAUAGGAGCUCCUGCCGCAUGGUGGGGGUUGGAAAGUUUCGGCGGUUGGGGAUGGACUCGCGGCUUAUCAGCUUGUUGGUGGGGUAGUGGCUUACCAAGGCUUUGACGGGUAGCCGGCCUGAGAGGGUGACCGGCCACAUUGGGACUGAGAUACGGCCCAGACUCCUACGGGAGGCAGCAGUGGGGAAUAUUGCACAAUGGGCGGAAGCCUGAUGCAGCAACGCCGCGUGCGGGAUGACGGCCUUCGGGUUGUAAACCGCUUUCGCCUGUGACGAAGCGUGAGUGACGGUAAUGGGUAAAGAAGCACCGGCUAACUACGUGCCAGCAGCCGCGGUGAUACGUAGGGUGUGAGCGUUGUCCGGAUUUAUUGGGCGUAAAGGGCUCGUAGGUGGUUGAUCGCGUCGGAAGUGUAAUCUUGGGGCUUAACCCUGAGCGUGCUUUCGAUACGGGUUGACUUGAGGAAGGUAGGGGAGAAUGGAAUUCCUGGUGGAGCGGUGGAAUGCGCAGAUAUCAGGAGGAACACCAGUGGCGAAGGCGGUUCUCUGGGCCUUUCCUGACGCUGAGGAGCGAAAGCGUGGGGAGCGAACAGGCUUAGAUACCCUCGUAGUCCACGCUGUAAACGGUGGGUACUAGGUGUGGGGUCCAUUCCACGGGUUCCGUGCCGUAGCUAACGCUUUAAGUACCCCGCCUGGGGAGUACGGCCGCAAGGCUAAAACUCAAAGGAAUUGACGGGGCCCCGCACAAGCGGCGGAGCAUGCGGAUUAAUUCGAUGCAACGCGUAGAACCUUACCUGGGUUUGACAUGGAUCGGGAGUGCUCAGAGAUGGGUGUGCCUCUUUUGGGGUCGGUUCACAGGUGGUGCAUGCCUGUCGUCAGCUCGUGUCGUGAGAUGUUGGGUUAAGUCCCGCAACGAGCGCAACCCUUGUUCACUGUUGCCAGCACGUUAUGGUGGGGACUCAGUGGAGACCGCCGGGGUCAACUCGGAGGAAGGUGGGGAUGACGUCAAGUCCUCAUGCCCCUUAUGUCCAGGGCUUCACGCAUGCUACAAUGGCUGGUACAGAGAGUGGCGAGCCUGUGAGGGUGAGCGAAUCUCGGAAAGCCGGUCUCAGUUCGGAUUGGAGUCUGCAACUCGACCUCAUGAAGUCGGAGUCGCUAGUAAUCGCAGAUCAGCAACGCUGCGGUGAAUACGUUCCCGGG
rnacentral:rRNA from 1 species